GGUCCCGUAGUACAACGGAUAGUAUGUAGGUUUCCGGAACCUAAGAUUGGGGUUCGAUCCCCCGCGGGACUA
rnacentral:tRNA from 1 species